rnacentral:rRNA from 1 species
UACGGGGGGGGCAAGCGUUGUUCGGAAUUACUGGGCGUAAAGGGCUCGUAGGCGGCCAACUAAGUCGGAUGUGAAAUCCCCAGGCUUAACCUGGGAACUGCAUUCGAUACUGGAUGGCUUGAAUUCGGGAGAGGGAUGCAGAAUUCCAGGUGUAGCGGUGAAAUGCGUAGAUAUCUGGAGGAAUACCGGUGGCGAAGGCGGCAUCCUGGACCGAGAUUGACGCUGAUGAGCGAAAGCUAGGGGAGCAAACGGG